CACCGCGGUUAUACGAGAGACCCAAGUCGACAGAACCCGGCGUAAAGCGUGAUUAAUAUUAUAUUACUACUAAAGUCGAACCCCUACAAGGCUGUUAUACGCCACCGAAGGUGAGAAGCCCGCUCACGAAAGUGACUUUAAGUCAUAUGAAUUCACGAAAGCUAUGGAA
rnacentral:rRNA from 1 species